CCUACGGGUGGCAGCAGUGAGGAAUAUUGGUCAAUGGGCGCGAGCCUGAACCAGCCAAGUCGCGUGAGGGAAGACGGUCCUAUGGAUUGUAAACCUCUUUUGGCGGGGAGCAAAAGACGCCACGCGUGGCGUUCCGAGAGUACCCGAAGAGAAAGCAUCGGGUAACUCCGUGCCAGCAGCGGCGGUAAUACGGAGGAGGCGAGGGUUAUCCGGGUUGAUUGGGGUUAAAGGGUGCGCAGGCGGAAGAUCAAAGCACCGGUAAAAUUGAGAGGCUCAACCUCUUCGAGCCGUUGAAACUGGUUUUCUUGAGUGAGCGAGAAGUAUGCGGAAUGCGUGGUGUAGCGGUGAAAUGCAUAGAUAUCACGCAGAACUCCGAUUGCGAAGGCAGCAUACCGGCGCUCAACUGACGCUCAUGCACGAAAGUGUGGGUAUCGAACAGGAUUAGAUACCCUAGUAGUC
rnacentral:rRNA from 1 species